rnacentral:rRNA from 1 species
GAUCCUGCUCAGGACGAACGCUGGCGGCGUGCUUAACACAUGCAAGUCGAACGAGAAUCUACUGAAAGAGUUUUCGGACAAUGGAAGUAGAGGAAAGUGGCGGACGGGUGAGUAACGCGUGAGGAACCUGCCUUGAAGAGGGGGACAACAGUUGGAAACGACUGCUAAUACCGCAUGAUGCAUAAGGGUCGCAUGAUUCUUAUGCCAAAGAUUUAUCGCUUCAAGAUGGCCUCGCGU